rnacentral:rRNA from 1 species
AUGAAUGCUGAUGGCUCUUACUGGAAACCUAAGCAGUACCCCAAAACCACAUGGGUUGCUGCAAAGGAAUCUUCAGCAGAUCCAUCCACUCUAUCUGGCUUCAUUUGUGCAAACCCCAUUGUCAUUGAUGAAUCCUUUGAUGCAAACUAUAAACUGUUUAAGAAUCAGAAUGGUGAAGUGUUUGCCAGGUACAUUGGUACUAACUGCAGAAACGGACCACAUAUGAAGAAGAUCUGGAUUCCGAAAAAGUGUCUGGAGAAUCUUCCUGUGAAUGUCAUCAUGACACCACACGUAAAGAAGACAAACCUUAGACCACAGGCUUCAUACGGUCCAAAGGCUUCAUACAGACAGAGGACUCAUCUGAGUCACACUAACGCAAAUGUUUUACAGGGAAACCAUACUCAGGCCUAUGAAUAUGAGCGCGGUUCAUCAAACCGCCAUGUUCAUAAGACCAAGAACUAUUCUGCUUAUUCUUAUGAGUACUAUUGUCCGCCUGCAAGACUUUUUGCUAGGGCUCCAAAGCCAAAGUUCUCAGACGCUGCACUUAGACUUAUUGCUUCUAAGCCACCCUUGAAGAUGUGGGUGGCUAAGAAAGCUUAA